rnacentral:tRNA from 1 species
AUUUACCUAUUAUAAAAAGUAAUCCUAACUUCCAAUUAGAUAGUCCCUUUAUGGGGGUAAGUA